rnacentral:lncRNA from 1 species
AAGUCAAGUGGAUCUCUCACAUUAGAGGAGUACAUCCCAAAGAAUCGUGGAGAAUUUCUGGAAAAUGGAACAUCGAGACGACAUUCACAAUGCCGACCUCUCUCUCUGCACCCUCUUUACCGUUCACUCUGCCAACACCAAGGGGAAAUCAACCCGUGUGCAGGCGUGUGCACACACACACUCGUGUAUGACCUCAGUACGCUCGUGGACAAUCUCGUGGUUUGAGUCUUAUCUUCAAAAGCCUGAGGCGCAGAGACACAGGCGACCCCACAUAUUGGAGGCAAAGGAUUCCCCGAGUGUAUCACGUCUUUGCAAUGAGCCGUUGGCGGGCGCAGCCCUCAGGGGACAGGCUCCGUGGGGCUGGGCUUCAGGGACCCGGGCAGCAGGGCCCACAGCCACAUCUCCUCGCUUUGCCGCCUGCCCGGUGAGUCAUGGAUGCCAACCGGCCCACGCGUUUCUGCCCAAGGUUCUGCUUUUCUAUCACCAAAACAUAAUUUGAAUUAGUCCUUUCUUUCGAAAAAUCUCUUCAAUAAUUUGUACUUCCUCCUUCCCUGCAUCGUACUUUUUAUCCAGAGGUCAGGAAGAAGCCAACGUGACCGGGAUAAGAAAGUCCCACCGCACGCGUUAUUAAUUAAUAAUUAAAUAAAUGUUUAUUGAGCAUCUACUGUGUGCA